rnacentral:rRNA from 1 species
GAUGAACGCUGGCGGCGUGCUUAACACAUGCAAGUCGAACGGAAAGGCCAGUGCUUGCACUGGUACUCGAGUGGCGAACGGGUGAGUAACACGUGGGUGAUCUGCCCUGCACUUCGGGAUAAGCCUGGGAAACUGGGUCUAAUACCGGAUAGGACAAUGGUUUGGAUGCCGUUGUGGAAAGUUUUUUCGGUGUGGGAUGAGCUCGCGGCCUAUCAGCUUGUUGGUGGGGUAAUGGCCUACCAAGGCGUCGACGGGUAGCCGGCCUGAGAGGGUGUACGGCCACAUUGGAACUGAGAUACGGCCCAGACUCCUACGGGAGGCAGCAGUGGGGAAUAUUGCACAAUGGGCGCAAGCCUGAUGCAGCGACGCAGCGUGGGGGAUGACGGCCUUCGGGUUGUAAACUCCUUUCGCUAGGGACGAAGCGUAUUUGUGACGGUACCUGGAGAAGAAGCACCGGCUAACUACGUG